rnacentral:rRNA from 1 species
GACGAACGCUGGCGGCGUGCCUAAUACAUGCAAGUUGAGCGAUGAAGAUUGGUGCUUGCACCAAUUUGAAGAGCAGCGAACGGGUGAGUAACGCGUGGGGAAUCUGCCUUUGAGCGGGGGACAACAUUUGGAAACGAAUGCUAAUACCGCAUAACAACUUUAAACAUAAGUUUUAAGUUUGAAAGAUGCAAUUGCAUCACUCAAAGAUGAUCCCGCGUUGUAUUAGCUAGUUGGUGAGGUAAAGGCUCACCAAGGCGAUGAUACAUAGCCGACCUGAGAGGGUGAUCGGCCACAUUGGGACUGAGACACGGCCCAAACUCCUACGGGAGGCAGCAGUAGGGAAUCCUCGGCAAUGGACGAAAGUCUGACCGAGCAACGCCGCGUGAGUGAAGAAGGUUUUCGGAUCGUAAAACUCUGUUGGUAGAGAAGAACGUUGGUGAGAGUGGAAAGCUCAUCAAGUGACGGUAACUACCCAGAAAGGGACGGCUAACUACGUG